GAUGAACCAGCCAGACAGCCCACCUGCCACCCCGCCGAGCUGUACUUGGUGUAUGCCAAUAUACCGACAUGCUAAAAUUUGUUAGCACUUCAAGAUCAUAUAAUGGAAAAUUGUAUCCAAACUGAAGUAUAAACCAGCCUGGUUGCUGUAGCCACAGAGGAAUUUUCAAGGACAAGAACCAGUGCUGGUCAAAAUGUGGUCUCGUGUGGUUUUUCAUACCGGUUCUCGGCAAGGAUUUCCGAGAAAGGAAUACCGUCUCCAAAUCAUGAUGUGCCAAUAAGCUCCAGUUAGCUGCGGCUUUUCCACCACCCCCACCCCCCGGCUGUAGUCCUGCAAUCUGAAUCCAGGAGAUGCAGCUCUGAAUCCAAUAUUUCAGAAGAAUGAAGAUGUUAGUCAUUUCUGUAGUACU